rnacentral:rRNA from 1 species
AUUGAACGCUGGCGGCAUGCCUUACACAUGCAAGUCGAACGGCAGCACGGGAGCAAUCCUGGUGGCGAGUGGCGAACGGGUGAGUAAUAUAUCGGAACGUGCCCAGUAGUGGGGGAUAACUGCUCGAAAGAGCAGUUAAUACCGCAUACGACCUGAGGGUGAAAGGGGGGGAUCGCAAGACCGCUCGCUAUUGGAGCGGCCGAUAUCAGAUUAGCUAGUUGGUGGGGUAAAGGACUACCAAGGCAACGAUCUGGAGUUGGUCUGAGAGGACGAACAGCCAAACUGGGACUGAGACACGGCCCAGACUCCUACGGGAGGCAGCAGUGGGGAAUUUUGGACAAUGGGCGCAAGCCUGAUCCAGCAAUGCCGCGUGCAGGAAGAAGGCCUUCGGGUUGUAAACUGCUUUUGUCAGGGAAGAAAUCCUCUAGGUUAAUACCCUUGGGGGGAUGACGGUACCUGAAGAAUAAGCACCGGCUAACUACGUGCCAGCCGCCGCCGUAACAC